UACGAAGGGGGCUAGCGUUGCUCGGAAUUACUGGGCGUAAAGCGCACGUAGGCGGGUUCUUAAGUCAGGGGUGAAAUCCUGGAGCUCAACUCCAGAACUGCCUUUGAUACUGGGAAUCUCGAGUCCGGGAGAGGUGAGUGGAACUGCGAGUGUAGAGGUGAAAUUCGUAGAUAUUCGCAAGAACACCAGUGGCGAAGGCGGCUCACUGGCCCGGUACUGACGCUGAGGUGCGAAAGCGUGGGGAGCAAACAGG
rnacentral:rRNA from 1 species